ACCAGGUGAGACCAGGUGGGACUAGGUGAGACCAGGUGGGACCAGGUGAUACCAGGUGGGACCAUGUGAGACCAGGUGAGACUAGGUGAGACCAGGUGGGACCAGGUGAGACCAGGUGGGACUAGGUGAGACCAGGUGGGACCAGGUGAUACCAGGUGGGACUAGGUGAGACCAGGUGGGACUAGGUGGGACUAGGUGAGACCAGGUGGGACUAGGUGAGACCAGGUGGGACUAGGUGAGACCGGGUGGGACUAGGUGGGACCAUGUGGGCCCAGGUGACACCAGGUGAGACCAGGUGGGACUAGGUGAGACCAGGUGGGACUAGGUGGGACCAUGUGGGCCCAGGUGACACCAGGUGAGACCAGGUGGGACUAGGUGAGACCAGGUGGGACUAGGUGGGCCCAGGUGGGACUAGGUGGGACCAUGUGGGCCCAGGUGACACCAGGUGACACCAUGUGGGACCAGGUGACACCAGGUGGGACUAGGUGGGACCAGGUGAGACCAGGUGAGACGAGGUGGGACUAGGUGGGACUAGGUGGGACCAGGUGAGACCAGGUGGGACCAUGUGGGACCAGGUGAGACCAGGUGGGACUAGGUGAGACCAGGUGGGACCAGGUGAGACCAGGUGGGACUAGGUGAGACCAGGUGGGACCAGGUGAGACCAGGUGGGACCAGGUGAGACCAGGUGGGACUAGGUGGGACCAGGUGAGACU